AUGGUUGUACGGGUAACGGAGAAUUAGGGUUCGGUUCCGGAGAGGGAGCAUGAGAAACGGCUACCACAUCUAAGGAAGGCAGCAGGCGCGCAAAUUACCCAAUCCCGACACGGGGAGGUAGUGACAAGAAAUAACAAUGCAGGGCUCGAAAGAGUCUUGCAAUUGGAAUGAGUACAAUUUAAACCCCUUAACGAGGAACAAUUGGAGGGCAAGUCUGGUGCCAGCAGCCGCGGUAAUUCCAGCUCCAAUAGCGUAUAUUAAUGUUGUUGCAGUUAAAAAGCUCGUAGUUGGAUUUUGGGCUUGUUCAGUCGGUCACAUCGCAAGGUGUGUUGUUUGGGGAUUGGGGUGCCUGUGGUGGGGGUCUUUUCUCCCUUCGCAGGGUCAACACCCCUUUCCUCCACUGAUUGGGCUUGUCUUAUCACUUGGGGGGGGAAGCUCAGGAUCUGGGGGGCCUUCGGGCCUCCCUCUUCCUUUCUCCUCCUAUUCUUUUUCUUAAAGACCUCAGGUGCUCUUUACCGGGUGCGUGAGGGAUUUAGGACUUUUACUUUGAAAAAAUUAGAGUGUUCAAAGCAGGCUUCUUGUUUCUGUCGGCUCUCCCCCCCUYGSGGGGGGGGGGGCUUGAUGGGGGUAUCUUCGCUUGAAUACAUUAGCAUGGAAUAAUGAAAUAGGACUUUGGUUCUAUUUUGUUGGUUUCUAGGACCGAAGUAAUGAUUAAUAGGGAUAGUUGGGGUGGUUAGUAUUUAAUUGUCAGAGGUGAAAUUCUUGGAUUUAUGAAAGACUAACUUCUGCGAAAGCAUUCCACAUGGAUGUUUUCUUUAAUCAAGAACGAAAGUUAGGGGAUCGAAGAUGAUCAGAUACCGUCGUAGUCUUAACCUUAAACUAUGCCGACUAGGGAUCGGGGGAUGUUAUUUUUUAUGACUCCCUCGGCACCUUACUGAGAAAUCAUCAAGUCUUUGGGUUCCGGGGGGAGUAUGGUCGCAAGGCUGAAACUUAAAGGAAUUGACGGAAGGGCACCACCAGGAGUGGAGCCUGCGGCUUAAUUUGACUCAACACGGGGAAACUCACCAGGUCCAGACAUGGGUAGGAUUGACAGAUUGAGAGCUCUUUCUUGAUUCUAUGGGUGGUGGUGCAUGGCCGUUCUUAGUUGGUGGAGUGAUUUGUCUGGUUAAUUCCGAUAACGAACGAGACCUUAACCUGCUAAAUAGUUACGCAAACUCAACCGUUUUCUCCCUYUCCAUCUCGGUGGGGAGGGGGGAUCCUUGGUGGUUUGGCGGUCAACUUCUUAGAGGGACUGUCGGUGUUUAACCGACGGAAGUUUGAGGCAAUAACAGGUCUGUGAUGCCCUUAGA
rnacentral:rRNA from 1 species